rfam:Chelonia mydas contig142279, whole genome shotgun sequence.
GCCAAAGUAGCUCAGUGGGGAGAGCAUUAGACUGAAGCUCUGGAGAUCCCUGGUUUAAUCCCAGGCUUCAGUG